rnacentral:rRNA from 1 species
CUUGCACUCAUUUUGGAAAGAGGAGUGGCGGACGGGUGAGUAACACGUGGGUAACCUACCCAUCAGAGGGGGAUAACACUUGGAAACAGGUGCUAAUACCGCAUAACAGUUUAUGCCGCAUGGCAUAAGAGUGAAAGGCGCUUUCGGGUGUCGCUGAUGGAUGGACCCGCGGUGCAUUAGCUAGUUGGUGAGGUAACGGCUCACCAAGGCCACGAUGCAUAGCCGACCUGAGAGGGUGAUCGGCCACACUGGGACUGAGACACGGCCCAGACUCCUACGGGAGGCAUCAGUAGGGAAUCUUCGGCAAUGGACGAAAGUCUGACCGAGCAACGCCGCGUGAAGUGAAGAAGGUUUUCGGAUCGUGUAAAACUCUGUUGUUACAGAAGAAUCAAGGCCGUUAGUAACAGAACGUCCCCUGACGGUAUCUAACCAGAAAGCCCACGGGUAACUACGUGCCAGCAGCCGUGGUAAUAUGUAAGCCGCAAGCCUCGUCCGUAUUUAUUGGGCGUAAAGCGAGCGCAGGUUGUUUCUUAAGUGUGAUGUGAGAGCCCCCCCGGUUCAGCAGGGGGAGGGUCAUUGGACUCUGGGAGAAUUGAGUGCAGAAGAGGAGAGUGGACUUCCAUGUGCAGCGGUGAAAUGCGUAGAUAUAUGGAGGAACAGCAGUGGCGAAGGCGGAUCUCUGGUAUGUAACUGACGCUGAGGCUCGACAGUGUGGGGAGCAAACAGGAUUAGAUACCGUGGUAGUAAACGCCGUAAACGAUGAGUGCUAAGUGUUGGAGGGUUUCCGCCCUUCAGUGCUGCAGCAAACGCAUUAGAGCACUCCGGGUGGGGAGUACGACCGCAAGGUUGAAACUCAAAGGAAUUGACGGGGGCCCGGACAAGCGGUGGAGCAUGUGGUUUAAUUCGAAGCUCUACCCCCGUUACCGAGAGCGCGAAGAACCUUUACCAGGUCUUGACAUCCUUUGACCACUCUAGAGAUAGAGCUUUCCCUUCGGGGACAAAGUGACAGGUGGUGCAUGGUUGUCGUCAGCUCGUGUCGUGAGCAUGUUGGGUUAAGUCCCGCAACGAGCGCAACCCUUAUUGUUAGUUGCCAUCAUUUAGUUGGGCACUCUAGCGAGACUGCCGGUGCAAAACCGGAGGAAGGUGGGGAUGACGUCAAAACAGUCAUCAUGCCCCUUAUGACCUGGGCUACACACGAAAAACGGGGGGGGUGUGCUACAAUGGGGGAGAAGUACAACGAGUCGCUAGACCGCGAGGUCAGGAAAUGCAAAUCUCUUAAAGCUUCUCUCAAAAAUAUGUUCGGAUUGCAGGCUGCAACUCGCCUGCAUGAAGCCGGAAUCGCUAGUAAUCGCGGAUCAGCACGCCGCGGUGAAUACGUUCCCGGGCCUUGUACACACCGCCCGUCACACCACGAGAGGGGCCCGGGGGGGCGCACGAU